rnacentral:rRNA from 1 species
GAUGAACGCUGGCGGCGUGCUUAACACAUGCAAGUCGAACGAUGAAGCCCAGCUUGCUGGGUGGAUUAGUGGCGAACGGGUGAGUAACACUUGAGUAACCUGCCCUUAACUCUGGGAUAAGCCUGGUAAACUGGGUCUAAUACCGGAUAGGAGCGUCCACCGCAUGGUGGGUGUUGGAAAGAUUUAUCGGUUUUGGCUGGACUCGCGGCCUAUCAGCUUGUUGGUGAGGUAAUGGCUCACCAAGGCGACGACGGGUAGCCGGCCUGAGAGGGUGACCGGCCACACUGGGCCUGAGAGACGGCGCAGACUGCAACGGGAGGCAGCGGUGGGGAAUAUUGCACAAUGGGCGCAAGCCUGAUGCGGCGGCGCCGCGUGAGGGAUGACGGCCUUCGGGUUGUAAACCUCUUUCAGUAGGGAAGAAGCGAAAGUGACGGUACCUGCAGAAGAAGCACCGGCUAACUACGUG